GAAAGGUGGGGCCUGGGAGAGGCCAAGGGUGGGGGGGGGGCAGCAUGGGUUGGGGGGAGUAGGGAGGGCUGAAGGGCAGAAGCCGCAUGCUGGCCGGGGCUGGAAGCACGGCCCUGGAAGCUUCCAGGUGGCUUCUUCCUUCCUAGGUCAUGGCUGAGAGAGAGGCACAGGGGCCAGCUGGGGCAGGACAGGGGAGGAUGGAAAGCCCAGAAGUGUCCUUCUCUCGUCUCUGUCCCUGUGUCCGCUCUUCCCUACCCUCCCUCUCAGAAGCCCAGCCCCGGAAACAAGAGAAAGGAAGGGAAACAGGGUAAGGUGGGGUAGAAGGAUGGGAAGUGAGAAUCCUUCGCAGAAAGAAAUUACAGCUUAACCAGUAAUCGGUUCAGUGACGAGGAAAUACCCCUCUAAUGGUGGACAGUGAAGCAUCCAGGACGGAGCCCUGGGGGGAGGGGGCGGGCCUGCAGGCCUUCUGAACCUCUCGAACCCCAGCCGGGGUGACCCGUCCAGGGAGGGCAAGGGGAAGCCAGGUCUGAGAGAGACCAGCAAAUGACUCCUAGCCUGAGGAGGAGGUCGAGCUGCCUCCUCCAGGAAGGCUGCCUGGAGAAUUGUGGGUCCGGGCCAUGUCAGGGACAGGCGAGAGAGAGAGGGGCGUCAAGGCACGGCCCCCUCCCUCAGAAACCCCUACCGGGCCGCUCCAGGAAACCCCCCGCAAGAGAGAGCAACCACCACUUUUUCCUCCCUCCACCCUGGUGGUGUAACAGCUCUUUCUGGGCCCCUCACGUGGUGCUCCUGUCCCCCCAGCUCUGCUGGCCCCAAGGCCCCGUGCCCCGGGUGGAGACGGGCGGUGAACAGGAAUGGAAAGUGGAAUCAGAAGGCUCGAGAAGGGUCGUGGUCUGAAGGACGACACAUGGCUCCCCACAUAGGUCAGCCAGUGGCAGCCACGCAGGACGAUUCGGAAGCAGAUUUCUCUCCGGGCGAGGGCACAGGGUCUUUGAAUUCUGGCGUUGCUCUUGGAGCACACUCGCACGUCUUCACCCAGCAGACCGGGACCGGGGAUUGUGUGGGAAAGUCCCUUCAGAAGACUUUCCCAGUAAAGCAACUCCCAGCAGCCCAUCUGCCAGGCAUCCUGGCAGGGGACGGAGUCCUGGCCAGGGGUGUCUCUCCCUCCCCUUUUGAUCUUGCUGUGGCUGGUAGCUUCUGGCAUUUGUCCAGGGUUUCGCCCAUGCAUAAGGUCAUUGUUUUAUCAAAUAUUUGUUGAGCUCUACUAGGCAGUGGGGAUACAAAGAUGAAUGAGACCGAGUUCCUGCAGUCGAGCACCGUCGUCCGUAGUGAGAGAGGGCACACGGAUGUGCUGAGAAGGGAAACAGAAGCCCAAGGUCCGGACUUGAUGGCUCAGGCGUGCAUUCCCUGUCGUUGUGGCCUACACACAUACACGGCAGCCAGAGAAAAUUAGCGCUUGGCAGUUGCUCUGGGGGAAUCCUAUCAAUCAGGAAAUAUUGAGUGUUCACUGCGACCCGCCAGGAAGUUGGAAGCUGGCACGCGCUUUGCUCAAUCAGGACUUGAGUCUAAAACAAGAAAAGAAACAAAUACGAAAAACCUCCCACAGGUUCACGCAUGUUAUCGGGGUCCUGAUCUUGAGCAGCACCGAGGUUGGGGGAAAGGAAACCACUCCAAGGAAGCCAUUGAACAUGCCCCAAAUGGUGUCAAAAGGCAGAAGCCAGGGGUUGGUCCCAGGAAGGUGGUGACAGCCCAGGUGAUGGCCAAUGGGGAGUCUUGGAGACUCAGGGAAGGGACCAGGGAAAGGGGUGGUGACAUUGGCGUACCACCAAGGUGGCACGUCCUUGCAAUCGGAAACAAGGCCUGGUAGGAAAGGAGGUUGUCCCUUCCCCAGCUGGGAGUUUGCGAGGGAAGACCAGAGUCAGGUGACCCCACUCCCUCCCCACCACUCCUGCCCUUAUCCAUCCCUCCUGGGAAAGAGGUCCCAACAGAGGGCUAUUUGACAAGUCUCAAACCCUGGAGAACUUGGGACUUUGGAUAGACGUGGGCAGGAAAAAGGAGCUAGAAUCUGCAGAAAGAAAUGGAGGGAGGGAGAGGACAUCCAGGAGAGGCACCAGAGAGAAAAGUAACGUACUUGAAAUAUCAUGACAUACAAAAGAGGGGAUCAGAGAGGGCAAAAAGCGUGUUGGACUUAGGGGAACCAGAGUCAGAGGGAAAUCAGGGCAAGGAGAGAAGUGCCCAAGGAACCAACUGGCUGGGCCUUGCCUGGGGAAGACAGCCGUUGUGGAGCACGGACUUCAAGGGAGAGGCAGAGGCUCAGAGGAGGCUGGGGGAGCUGAGUGGACCAGACGCUGAGUUGGCAAGAGAAGCUUUCCUACUGGGAGUAGAAACGUAACACGUUCUAUGCUGUGUGUGCAGACAUGUGGUCUACCCCCUCUGCUCCUAACCCAGGACCAGCCUCUCUUGAAGUAAACACCAAUGAAGAAAAGCAGAGGAGGCUGGAGCGAGCAGUCUAUAAGCCAAAGGUGGCAUUGUGCAGGCAUUCCUUGGGGAAACGCUCAUCUCCAGCCUGUCGGCAGGACCUCUGGGACCUGCUGGGACCCCGGUUCUGGGCUGCCCCGAGGAAAGCCCAAGUGCCUUUCCUGAGAGCCUCCCUCCCUCCCAACCUUGUCCAGGUGCCCUUCGUGGGAAUAGCUGAGCUUCCCACAUCCCAUAGUCAGAGGCCCCCAGCCUCCCAGCCUGAGGCAUGGCGGCCAGAUCUUCUCAGACCCAACUCUGGCAGCUCAGUGACUUUUUGUUUAAACCCAGAAAUAUCACACCUUAGCGAUAGCCUGUUUCCCACUGAGGGGUACACAACUGGAUAGUCCAGUUAGAGAGGCAGGUUUGGGGCUGAGCAAAGGGGGACAUACGGUGAUUUCCACAGAAGCAGGAUCUUCGAUCCCUCCACCCUUCUGGAAGUUUCCCUCUCUCCUCCCCUUAAACGCAGGCUGCCAUGAGAAUCUAAAACCUGAGGGGGCUCAAACGGAGGUUGGCACAGCCUGGGGCAAAGGGUUGGGAAAGAGAAGCUACACUUCUUUGGGGGAGACGUUGGAGAUUGUGUGCCCAGGAACUAUAUGGAAUAAGCACUUGUGAUGUAUGCGCUCGACACUGGUUCCCAGGAGCCCCAGGAGCCCCUGCCCAGCAUCCUUGCCCUAGCCCAACCCUGUCUGCUUGCCAGUCCACUCGCCCUAGGAGGAGACCUGUUGUAGGCUCAGAAGACCCUUCAAGUGGCACUGAGUUCCCCAGAUCCUCAUCCCACAGAGAUUUCUGACUCCCAAGGCUCUCAGUAGAGACCAGAGCUGGGAGAAGGCUCAAGCUUCCCUGUGGCAUGGUGCCUGAGAAGGGUUGGAGGCUUGGGAAAUGGUGAAAUUACCAUUCAGUUCAAGAAGCGAGCAGCAGCUGGGAUCGGGGCUUGGGUUUAAGAUUUCUCUUCAACAAGGUUCCCAAAGUGAUUUUCUCUGGAUCAGCUGCUUUGACUAUUUGAGCGGUUGGAUAUCUGCCAUGUUGGGGUCUCCACUGUUUCUAUUUCUAUUGAACUUGGUGUCACGGAUUCAGCAGUGAGUGGGACACACAGUCCCUGUUCUCAAGUGGCUCACCACCUCCCAGGGAAGACCAUGGUCCUAGCUAUCGGGGGGAAAUGGUGAUGGCCACAAGUGCUCACCACAGCCUUUGUUAGUCCUCAGAUGUCAAUUUGCCAUAGUCUUUCUUCUAAGGCACACCUCACAGAGAACUUAAAUCACUUUAGAUGAUGAAGAUAGUUAAAAGGUCACCAGAAAACCACUUUCACUUUGGGAGUGGCAAGCAGUAAGCUUAGCCUCUGCUCGUCGAGAUCUCAUAGUCUUGAAGGAGCUGCUGUUUGGGUGUCCAAAUUCCCAUAAGCUCCCUUUAUGCUCUACUAACAUUUUAAGGAACAGGAAACAAUCUUGUUGGAGGCUGCAUGUCCAAUGUGGGAAACCUUUAAAAUACUAGAGACUCCAGGCUUGUGAGGGGUUCUGAGGGUCAGAUGCUCCCUGGAGCCAGCACAGGACUGGGGAAGGGAGAGCAGGGAGCCCCAAGAUCCAGACUCAAGGGUGCUCACAAGGGCUGAGAUUGUGCCUGGAAGCUCCCUUCUUGGCAGCCCCAGUUGAAGGGCAGAGGACCAGGGGCUGGUCCCAAGAAGAUGGUGACAACACAGAUCAUGGUCAAUGAGGAGGUCUGGGGGGCUCUUAGAGUGGGUCAGGAAGAGGUGGGGUUAUGUUAGAGUAUCACCAAGAAGGUGGUUCCUCAAAAUCAGAAACAGGGCCGGGGAAAUGGUUUAAUGGAAAAACCUAUGUAUAUUUGAACAUAAUUUAAAAAAAAGAAAGAAAGAAAGAAAAAGAAAUAGGGCACUGAGAAGAAAGAAGAAAGAUGUCCCCACUCCAGCUUGGGGAAUGGACAGGAGUGAAGUGUCCCUGCCCUUAUUGCGGUCUCUGACUUCACUGGCUUCCAGUGACUUCUUCUGGUCAUGACUGAGAAGAAGGGCAUAAGGAAGGGGACUGGAUCCAACUCAAAUACCCAGAGGACACAGGACACCGGAGAGAUAGAGAAAUUCUGUGAUUACAUCUGCAGAGACAAAGAGCAACAUCUCUGUACAUCCAGAGACGUACAGAGAGAGGAGACAGAAGGAACAAAGACAGGGUGACAGAUCUGAUCAGAGUCAAGGGUCAAGAGCGUGCAGGUGUGACCAUGGUCCCCCAACUCACUGCCAGAGCGCCCCGGUCGCAGAGGGAGGAGGGGCAGGGACAGACACGCAGAUAGGCAGCAGCUGGCCAUGUCCUGCCCCCAGGCCACCAACUCUCCAGGAGAAUAAUCAAAAUUCUUUUGGAUUUUAUGGUUCAAAAAGAUAUGCAAUGAGAAAUCAGAAGUUUUCAGAGACGCAGAGAAAAAUGCUGGGGGAAACGUUCCCAGGACGGAAUUGGCAAGAUUCUAAAUGAUUCAGAAAUGUAUAAGGCACUUGCCUUCCAGGCAGGGAUUUAUCUCCUCACUACCGGUUGCCCUGCUACCUCCUGGUGGUAGAGGGCCCCUCAGUAAGAAGGGUUGAAGAGGAGAGAAGGAAAGCAACGCGGGGCUGGCUAGGGAGCAAACUACCAGUUCCCUUUCUGAGUCAAGCUAUGCAUCAGUCUGUGGAUGAGCUGGCCCUCUUGCACCCACCUGCAGGGGUCCAGGGAUGUGUGCCGAGGGAGGCGGCAGGCAGAGUACCUGAGAGGUGCCCUUUGGCAUUAGGAAGCCCAGCCCUUGCUGUGGCUCUCAGAUGCUGCCCCUCAGCGGCCAGAAACCCACAGCCCUGAGCCCAGGCUCUGCGUGGCCUUUAGCAAAGCUCAUUUCCAGCUUGGACAUGCCUCCGGGCCCCUCCGGGCCCUGCCGACAUCUGUGGCCCAGGCUGCCCCGAUGUCCUUUGUCCUGAUGGACUGUCCUGUCCAAAGGGUUUUCUUUCUCCCUUCCACAGACUCCUAUCUCAGUAUUUCCUGCACAAACAGUGUGAUGCGCUCUCCUUCUCAGAAGCAGAAAAAAAAUCAUACUACUUGGAUACAUGUCUUCCCUGGAGACAUUUAUUAGCUUACCACAAAAUGGAAGAGUACAAGGUCAGGGACUGGCAAGCGUCUGGUUGUUACACAAGAGUCAGCUGCUCUUCUGGCUCCCGUGAGAGCUCAGCCCAGGAACUUUAUUUUACCCCCGCUUGAAACCCAGGCAGCCCUGAGAGGCCAAGAGCCAACAAAGCCUUCAAAGUGUUGCUGGCGCCCUUUCCUAGACGGAAGCUGUAGAGUGUUCAGGAAAUGACCAAAACUACAGUGUAGUUAAAUAAGCAAGGUAUCCCGACCAGAGGUCUUGGAACUGCUUUGGGCACUGAUUCCAGCGGGCUUUUUCUUAAUCUGUGGCCCUUGAACCCAGCUAAUGUCGAGACAUGUUCUUCUAGAAUAUUCUAUAGACCCCGUCAAUAUAUCUGCUGCACACGAGAAACAGAGCCAAGUCCCUGCCUUAUGAGACCUUCCUGCCUUCAGUUGGCUCACAGUUGGAGUAGGGGAGGGAGACAGUCAAGUGUGUAAUCUUACGACCAUAUGUGAAGUGCAAAAUAGUGUCCCGACGGCUCUAACACCCAGAGGACCCCCAAAUCAUUGAGUCAGCCAUAGUGAAAGGUUGCAUGGCCUGGCAAUUCCUUCAAUGGAAAUGCUUUUUGGAGGUCAUUGGCCUGUCUUCAGACUAGUACAGGGACAAUCAGGCAGGCUCUUACUUCAUGGAGCGGGAGAGGUUUUCCUAGGGUCAGGGCUUAUGGGAUUGAGGUACAGUGGUUAGAGCAGAAACUCUUUGCUAUUUCCAGCUGAAGCAGGCAAUGGAGGGGAAUGGGUAAGGGGCUUGUCCCUUAUGGCCUGCCCCUCUCCAGACAGUGGAAAAUCGAGGCAUCCAAGAAAGAAGGAAAGGGGAAAUGCAAACCGCCUAGCUCAUAAAUCUCUGUACUCAAGAAGGACAUCAGGAGAGGAAGGUGGUUUUGUCCCCCUCGGGGUGUCCAUGACCUUUUCUUGCCUCGCAGUCCUUAAAUUUUGUCACCCUAGAAACAGCUCUCUUAUUUUAGUACUUAACUAAAGUCUACUUAAGACCAAUACAGAUACAGAAUUAUACACUGUGAAAUGAGACAAAAUAUGAAAAGAAAUAGCAAAGAAGAGCAGCAGAAAGGGUGGAAACAUAGAUCCUCAGAGUCAAGAAACAGAGCAGAGCCCUGGAGAGAGAACCCAGGAGGUGAUGGCUAGACAUGGAGGCACAAAGCAAGGCUGCCCGGCCAGAGAAGGCUGAGCCAGCUGGGUACUGGGGGCAAGGGGAAGCCAAGGUUCUUCCUACAGUGAACACAUAACGUGUACCAAUCAUGCUUUGGAAAGAACUCUGAUGGCAGUAAGAGGUGGUGAUGGCCGGGCACUCGGGAGCAAAUUGCUGUCCGACUUGCCCGUUCCUCCUUCUGACCCUCUACAUACAUUUCUGAGGAAAAGGGAGCCCAUAAAGCAUGAGCCUUGUAAGUUUGCCAGAGGGAGAAAAAACUGAAACAAGGAAUUUCAUGAAAUGAUGGAGCUGGGGGCCAACUGCUGCCUGGCCCUUACCCUGCCCACACUGUGGACAGAGUGUGGGUUGGAGGGCAGGGUGUGGGUCAGAGAGGGAGGACUAUAUAGUCAGGGAGAAGUUAAUGGAGUACCUCAAGUCCUUGUGAAUCCCCCUACUAGGCCUCCUUCCUCUGGACUGUGUCCCCCGAGUCCUUCAUCCUGACUUGGUUCCCAGCCAGGCCAUAGUUCGGACAGGGUAUUGAAGAGAAUUAAGCUGACUGAGACCACAGAUUCUCCCUUCAAAAUAGGCAUUCGCAAAACAAGUGGACUUGGCCUGGGGCUCUGUCACCAAGAGAAAGAACUAUAGUAAUUAGGGCCAGCCUUGAUUUCCCUUUACUCCUGGAAGGGACAUAUAUCCAGCCAGGAAGUAGGGUGAGCUGCCUGCUCCAGGUGGGACAAAGAAUGGCUUUCCACGCGUGGUUUGGGCAUCCUAUUUGCAUGCGGUAGAUUGGUACAGCUCCUUUCAGAAAGAGAAGGCAAGAAUGCAUUGCCCUGACCCUUCUUUCACCUCAUCCUUCUCUCUGCUCGGGAUUGCUUCCCCCCGUCCUUGGCUUCUGCCAUUCCUGGAUGACUCUCUUGGACUGGGUCUUCUGGAAGGACUUGGCUCCCACCGAGCCUUGGGGCAUCAUCCCGCCGCUUCGUGGGCCUCUGGGAAUCUUGUAUCCGUGCCGGACGUCACCUCGUACCGUGAAGGCAAGAGGAUGUCUAUUUUGAAGGGAGCAUUUGUGGACUCUGUUCUUUCCCACAGUCAUUUAUGAAGCCUUUGAAUGCAAUGCAUACAUUUUUUUAGACCAAGGGCAGAAGGGGUUUGUCUUGAUCUGUAGUUCUGGCUAUGUUUGCGUGGGAAGGCGAGACCUUCUGGGGACUCCUGCCAUCUCUAAGUCACUGACUGACUUAAAGUUGCCUGGAAUCUAUUAGGAUCCUUCAGUUUCAAGUACUCUGACACAGAGAAGCUGUGUCUUACCUGGCAAGCUGACAUCCAAUUCUGUUUAAAACUCACGGGUUCCUAUUGCCACCUUCUCCCCCUGGCUCCUUUGCUAUUUCUGCUUCCUACACUCCUGCAUACUUAUCUCUGAUAUACAUCAAACGCAUUGGAAAUCAGACAUUAAUAUUCUAAUGUCAUUCAAAACACAUCAUGAAAGUUCAAGUAUUAGUCAUAUACUCGAACAAGUCUUGGGGAUACAACAAUGAAUGAGAAACAGUGUCUUUUCCUCUAAAAGCACUUAAUCUUGCAAAAUAACCUCCCAACCUUCCAGGACUCUAAAGGUGAAGUUGAAUUUGUAAGUUAACACAGGGACUCAGUCUCUUUGGAUGACAAAUGAAAGACACCCUUGAAGACUCUAAUCCAUGAAUGACUGGGUUGGGUUUAAGGAGCCCCUGGGAAGCAGCUUGCAGACAAAGUAGAGAAUCUCCAAAUUCAUAGGAAUCACAGAAGUCUCAAAGGACUUAGCCUUUCUGGAGGUGGGAUCUAUAGUUGAAGCCGGAAGCUGCCGCAUCAGAAUUCUUAGCUGGAAGGCAGAGAACCAGGUAGGGAGAAGGUCAGAUGUGGUUUCAUGAAGAUGUCAUUUCACCAAAUGAUGGCUGUUGGAGCAAAGAAGAACGAUCAUAGAAAAGGCAAAGCCAGAAGGGAAUAAGAGAGAUAGAACCCCUCCUGAAGGCAAGAAGUUAUUCCUCACUCUUCUAGUUUAUAAGCUGGUUUGCGGCCACACACCCCAGGAAUAGUCAGGUGGCAUCUAACUCCACCUCUGCUUUCCAAUCCCGCCUCUGUCAUCCCUGUGUCUUGUAUCCCUGUGGGAAAAAAGAAAGUACACAUGAAUAAGCUAGAAUGUCCCCAUCAGAGGAGAAUCUCAUAGGUCCAGAGCUAGCUAUCCAGGAUGAUACACAGAGAUGCAGAAAAAGAACAAAACGCAGAAAGAAAAUCACGAGAGUUUUAACAGAAGAAAUACGGCAGAAAAAUUGGAAGCAUCCCCUGGGAGAAAAUCCAGGGCAAAGAGCGGUGAGUCAAUAAAUAAAUAAAUAAAUAAAUAAAUAAAUAACUGAUAAAGAAUGUCAGCAGAAGGCAGCAGUAAAGGUAUCUCUCUCAGAGACCUGACAAGGUUCAGGGAGGGCAAAACAGAAGCUGAGCUCUCAUCUAUAAUACCCUGUCCCACCGAGGCCAGUACCCCUAGCACCCUAGACCUCGCUCAUGUAUUCAGAGCUUCAAAGGCCUCCAAGCAGAGAAGAGCCCUGAGAAGGAGAAGAGGGAAUGGAAAUAAAGGGCAGAUGCGGGAAGAUGUUUGAAGAAACGGGGGAGGGAGAAAAUAUUCUGGCCAUUGGUGCUAAGCACAAGAUACCCGAAAGGCUGGAAACAUACCCCACAAUCAUCACAUUCCCCCACAAGCCCCUGGUAGCUGCCAGAUGGAAGCAAAGGGGGGGAAAUGUGGUAGGAUGAGGGCCAGACAGUUUGGGGCCACCAAAAACUCCCUAGCUCGUUUCCUUCUUCUACUUUUCAAUUAAAUUAUUCAAACUCAGGCCUGAUGCUUUAUCCGAUGUGUUUAGAUGCUACCCAAGAUCCAGGCCCUCUUUGCCCUAUGGGAGGGCAAGAGGAAGUGCCCUGUGAUGCGUGUGCUCUUGUGUGGGUAGUCAGGGGACUUGUCCCACUUUGGUAUGGUGAGGGAAGGAUAUGCCAUCAUUUGCAAUCUCUGGCCUUGACCUCACAUGGGCUCCCAAUCCCGUGUUCUGCUUGUACCGAGAACCAGACCUCUGAGCUCACUCCAUCCGAUCAGCCUCUGAUGCCAGUAGGAGAGAGGGGAGUCAGUUGAAGCUGGUAGAUGCCUUUGAGUUUUAAUGAAGUCUUUGAAACAACAGCACUGAAAUGUUAGGGACCAUUUCUUCUCUAUUUUUCAACCCAUUUCAACCCAUUGCAGUAAACAUCCAUUUUACACUUAGUAAAUCACACUGGGAUGUCUGCUUUCUUAAGAAUUUUACCAAAACUUUGUUUGAGGCUAAACCCAAUUCCAGAAACUUUCAACUGCAGUCUGAUCCAGAUUUCUCUGUGGCAAGCUAUGGGCACGGGAAGGGGGAGGCACAAAAGGUCUCACAUUGCUUGAAAAAUGGUCCCAUUGCAUUUGAGGUCAACAAUCAAAAGCCCAACCUAAAAGCUGGGCUCAGAGUCUCCAUCAGCUGGGAUUUGGGAUCAGGCUUGAUCCUUUACUGCAGGAGACAUGCACCCUGGUGGGGGUCCUCUUGGUGCAGAUGUAGAGUUGUCAAGAAUCCAGAGCAGUCUCAGACUGUUCAGAGAAAUUGUUCUUGUUUUAGGGUUCAUACAACCCUCUUUUUCCUCUUUCCCCUCAAAUCUUCUCCUGCCUUUGUACUUUGGUUGGCUAUUCCCUCUGACUUAAUAGAUACAUCAAAACCCUUUAGAAGCCCUCAUCUAAUAUCACUGAAGAUUCUCGCUUUGGUUAACAAGCAUUUAUUGAGCGUUAGUCAGGCUUCCAGUGGUGUUGGGAAUUCGAAGUCAACUGAGAGUUGGUUUUUCCCCACUGAGAAAGUCCCCAUUGAGAAAGGGACGGGUGGACUGCAGAAAGGGAGGCUGGGCCAGGUGGGCAGGGUACCCUUUGAGGAUCUUUCCUACGGGACUUUACAAACAACGCUGGUUCUCCCAGACACACACACAGAAGACAGUGGGUGAUUUCCUGCUGGAGAUCUCCUAACUGGAGAAUAAAGAGUCAGAUGGUGAGGAUGACGAAUGAGGAGCUUGAUCUCUUCAGCUGUUAUUUUUCUCAUAGUUAAUCAUUGCAAGGGAGGGGGAGAGAAAGGCCGGGCAGCUAAUAAAGAGUGUGGGAAUGGGAUAUCCAGACAGUUCUCCGGGGCGGGGUGAUCUGGCUGCACCAACUACUCCUUGGGUAGUAACAUGGCCACCUGUCUGUUUCCCUCCAUACCCUUAUUCUUCUGGUGGCCAAUUCAGGCCCCAGCCAUCCCUGCUUGUCUGAGGAAAUAUUAGACGAGCAAGAUAAAAGAGGCACACUCACGUCCUGACUUUGGCAGACUAGAAAGAAAGAAAUGGAGAAACAAAUAAAUUUUUUAAAACAGCAAUGCAGGGAUGUAAUGGCAGAAACAUCGAGACGUGGAGGAAGACAACUAAAUAUGGAGCAGGGGAGAAAAUGCAUUACAGGGAAAUCUGAGCAGCCGGGGACGCAGAAGAAGGGGGAAUCGCAGGGAGGUGGAAGAGGAAGGACAGAGAGUAGACACAGACAUAGUAGACAUAGGAGCUACCGGGGCGCUCUCUUCCCCCGCUGGGCUGUGGCCUGGGCAACUUCAUUUUUUGGUUCCUGGAAAGAUAAAAGAGCUGUGGAAGAGACACGACGAGAGACCAUGUAGGAAGCAGCCGAGGAAGCUGUGUCAAGAAUAUAGAAGAGUCUCAGGGUCCAAGAAGUGUCCAUUCCUCCCUAACUUACCCACCGUAUUCACCGACUCACCCUGACUAUGGGUCAGGCGUCUGACCCAGUUUAGCCUGAGGGAAUAAAGAAAGAAAUUGGAUUGAGUGGAGGAUUCAGGCUCUGGGCGUUCCGAGUGGCAGUCUCCACCUGCCUGCGUUAUCGGAGUCUAAUGUGAAUCAGACGGCACCACUCCUGAUGCUUGGGCAGCCUUUGAGGGAUCGGACAACUGGAAACCAUCCAUCCUUUUAAUUUUUUACGUAAGAGUGAUUGCCGGGCAGGACUGUGGAGUGGGGAGCACUGGAUGACAUCACGAAAUGCCUUUCGGAGGUCAAGGUUCGUGUUACCACGUUUAGUGCUCUUGACCAGAUUUAAGGAUCCCCGCUUUACCAAGAUAGAGCAAAAACUCUUUUAUGUAAAUACAAAUGUGGUGUAUAACAAGACGGAAAAACAGGGCUCCUGUUUUCAUCCAGAUUCCAAAAGGUCGAGAAAAAAAUCGGUGGAAAAGUUUGGCUGUUUUUUUAAAAUAAAGAACCAAGGGUUACUAAGAAGGUGGUCAAAAAUCGAUGCCAAGCCUUAGUCCCGCGUGCAGAGUAGGACAUGGCUGAGGCCUGGGAAAGGAAAAGAGAAAGUCCCUGAAGCGACAUGGCGUUGUACCUCCCCUCCCCUCACUAGGAAAAGAAAACCGAAGGGGGAUCACCCAGGGCCCUUGAUGUGCAUUCCUUGGAUUUUGCAGAUCACGGCACACUGACGCACAGAUGGCAGCUAGGAAGGAAAGGGCUGAGGCAACAGGGCAGAGCCUCAGCCUUCACUGGGAAGUGGCUCCGUGACCAAGGAUAGGACGUGGAGUGGCAUGGUUCACUGUGUUUCAUUGACCGGAUGGGUUGCUCCAGGACGAAACGUGGCCAGGAGCCCAUCGUGCCGGGGAUGGUUUCCAGAAGGGAUAGGGUAGUGGUGAGGAGGAGUAUGUGACUGAAAAGGAAGAAGAAAUUGCUGACUUGAAGACACGCUUUGCCCAUGGCUGGGAAGCACAGUCAAAUGUGCUCAGUGAGGUUUCUAAGGGACACUCAAUCAUCCCCUACAGAAGUGUCAGCCCCGAACAUGCACCAAGCCCAGAGCACGCACAACCAGAUCCUGUGAAAACCAACUCACUACCCCAUCCCUGAACGCUGGGGUGGAAACUAAGGCCAGGAAGGGUGCGCAGAAGCAAAAGCUCAAGCCUCGUGGAGAAGCCAACCACACCCACUGCUUACCGAAAGAGCGAGAAGGCUUUAACGGAAGUUCUCUGUUUUGACUAUUACACAGGCCUGCGUAUUUCAGUUACUGAAAUGGAUCUGCCUUGUGACUAAAAUUGACUGAAGGUAGUUACCUGAGAGUUUCUGGAAAAAUUAUGCAACCAGCCGGCACUUUUGCUCAAGGGAGGGAAGGAAUAGCUUCACAGAACAGAUUUUCAGACGGCACUUGUCCUUGAAUUGUGGGUGGGUGGCAUUUGGGUCUUGUAAGGUGUCAGAGGAACUUUCCUCACUCCUUCCCCUGCCCUUUGGUUUCACAGGCUUCCUUUCAAACAUGCCCCACUUUGCAGGACAUGUUUCAGCCAGAGAGAAGCACUUUGAGUUUUGGGGAAGGAUAGGAUACUUUUUUCUCUAAUUCCUUGAUCCUGCCACAUAUCCCGGACUCUGCUGGAACACAGCCCUCCCGCCAUACCUCUCACUGCGUGAUCCUUCUGGCGCACCUCAGACUUGGCUUCUUUCUGAAAGUCUCUGGAAUUUCUCCCGGUGAAAAAAAGAGCCCCCCCCAAUGACUCCACCGUCACCCCUCCACCCCCUGCUUAUGUCUGUGACUCGGAAGUCAGUGCUCUCAUUGCCAGUUAAUUUGUCCUCAGUCUCUCCCACAACACUGUAAAUUCCUUGAGGGCAAGGAUUCCAUCUUAUUGACUCAUUUAUUUCACAGGUUGGAGAACUUCUUGGCACAUUGUAGAUGCUCAGUUAAUGUUUGUUGAAUCAAUGCAUGAACACACUCACACCCAUACUCCCCACCUUUUACUUUGACGUGUUGAAUGUAUGCAUAUUUAAUUUCUGGGCAACCGCAAGAAUUUCACUUUUAGUGUAUGUGACUUGCAAGUCACUUUAUCUUGAGGGGACAAGACAUAGAAAAUUAAAAAUGGAGAAAAAGGAUACAGAGAAGAAAUAGAUUUGUUGCUGAGGGUGCGGUAAAGAUAAAGCAGAGGGAAAUUAGACACCAAGGAGUGGUGGCCUGGGGGCUAAGAAAGGCCGGGUUGCUCAGCUGUAGGUCUGAAGGCAGCUGGCAUACUGUGCCAUGAAAUUGUUUGGGGUAGGGCUGUUAUACAAGAUUUAUGUAAAAAAAAAAAAAAAAACAAAAAACAAAAAAAAAAAGCAAAAAAAAAAAAAAAAAGACAUUGUUUUAGCAUGUGUUUCCAAUUUCUUCCAGAAUGUGAGGCAACACUAAGUAUCUGAAGAUCCACUGGGGUUAGGUGAAGUGGGUUAUUUGUGAAAGGAAAAGGUGCUGAAAAGAUGCUAGGGCAGAAGCCAGCUUGUGUGGUCUUCCCCAGAUUUGGAAAUCAUUCAUAUAAAACCUCAGGGUCGUAGUCCAUCCCUUAACAGUGCCCCAGGGUAGUAUCUGGACCUCAUGGGAUGGCUUCUUUUUUUUUAAUUUUUUUUUAACGUUUUUUUAUUUUUGAGACAGAGAGAGACAGAGCAUGAACGGGGGAGGGGCAGAGAGAGAGGGAGACACAGAAUCGGAAGCACGCUCCAGGCUCUGAGCCAUCAGCCCAGAGCCCGACGCGGGGCUCGAACUCACGGACCACGAGAUCGUGACCUGAGCUGAAGUCGGCCGCUUAACCGACUGAGCCACCCAGGCGCCCCUUUCAUGGGAUGGCUUCUGGAUAUACCUUAAGGAAGCUACUCCCAGGGGCUCAAGCUCCCAGCCCCUGUGCCUCAGCGGGACUAUGCCUGUAAAAGCUGUUAGAAUAUCUGCUUACACUGUGACCCAAAGACCGAUGUUUGUAAGAAUCGUCCCUGGGACACUCAUAUAAGGUGCAAAGGAAAAAAGACAGAGCCCCAAAAUAAAUGAGGAACAUCGUGUCUAGGUUAAAGAGAUGGGAACUUGAAAGCAGCUUUCAUUAAAACAAGAAAAAAAAGAAGUCAAUGAGGUAGCAUUACUUGAAACUAAAUGAUUAUAUAGAGCAAAAAAAAUUUUAACUGCUAGAACCAUCAUACCUGUAAUAUCUGUAAUUAGUAAUUGCACUGUGGAUUUUCGAAAUGGUUGUAGAAAAUGCCUUUUUAGCUCUCCUGGGGAGAUUAAACACAAAUCAAAGCUCUGUCCAACUCAGGGAUGUUGAAAAUCCUCUGUGCCUGGUUAGUGAGUCAGAACCAUGGAGGAACAUUGAGUAGGAGGAAAGCAAAUCAGAGAUGCAACCACACAAGCUAUGAAAAUGUGGAGGGGGUAACUGACACAGUAUAAAAAGAUGGCUUCAGUAGGUGUAUUAUCUGGGGGGGGGGGGGGGGGAUGCAGUCCAGUGAUUCGCGAGCAUCUCCUUGAAGUUAAAGUGUAGUAAGCUCAGAAAAAGUUUCAAGUAAGCCAAAUAUGGCUCACGGAUGACAUGCGAAGGAAACAAUAACAAUUAUGGUCAUUAUUAGACUUCCAAACUAUGAGGCGCUAAGUGAACUCAACGUAAGCCAAAGCCCCGUAAGGCACUAAGGAGCAAUAAAGGGUCUCCACAGAAUCUUCCAAAAGAUUGCAAAGCCAAGAGUGCGGCCCCAUGUAUGCAAGGCCUGAAAUAAGGGUGGUGACAAACAUAUUCGAGGGGAAAUGAGCCAAGAGCGUUGGACAGUGUUGAGAUUAUCCCUCUUCAUCUGCUUUGGAAUGGCUUUCCAAAGCUGUAGCCUAGCCAGUUGGGAGGCUGCAUUUGAUCAGAAGUAAUUAUACCCUUUUGAUGAAAUAUUUUAGCUCUCUUUCAUUGCAUUGCAGAUUCCAGGGUGUUCCUCCUAUGAACCUAUGAACCCAGAAGACAGGCCAGGAGCACAGCAUGUGGCACAAAGCUCCCUUCUCGCUGUCCGGUGGAGCGCUUUUUACACUACAUGGCUGAAAUGCAAAAGAUAACCAAAUUAAAAUCCAACAUUUGUAUCUUUCAAAUUCUCAUCACCGUACUUAAAACUGCCUGAGAUAAUCAAUUCUCUGAAGUUUCAUAAAUUUUUGGACAAAGUUUUAUUCUUUACCAAACCCUUAAAUCACAUAUAUUUUUUAAAAAAAUAGGAAAUAAAUUGAUGGGAGUUAUGGUUUACCUGAGUGAUUUAAAAUUUGAUACAUAUACCUCACAAAUAAACGCAAUAAAAAACCAUACGGAUGCUAAGUGCAGCCAAUAUGAAUGGUCAACUUAUCUUCUGGAAAAUUUAAACGAUAGAAAGACUAACAGUCUAAAUAAAACUCCAAGGGAAUGAUGGAAUUUUGAAUUUGUCAGAUUCUUUUUAAUUCUCCAGAAUCUUGUUCAAAUUUCACUUCCCAUUUUCUCAGGAACAUAUAGACACCCAAGCUUAGAUGAGAUUAUCACUCCAUCCUUUAAUUAAUGAUAAAUGUUGUCUUACGUGGUACAGGGUGGAUGAAUUUCACAGAAUAAUACGGUUCCUUAGUUCAAAAUAGUCUAAGUAUUUCUCUGCCUUAAGUGAACACUGAGAGAGGGUUCAUUUUUUUCCAGAAAUGCUCAAACCCUUGCUCCCUGUGUUGCAAGAAAGCUCCUCAAGUGUAGAUUUGUGUCUGAUGAAUAUCUCUCUCCAGCAAAGGGCCAGGAACAGAGUCAAUAGCCAGAACUGAUGGCUCCUCUUGCCAAGUCCAGAGGGUCUGAAUGCGGGUCCAUGCUGGUAGCUUCUAAUUGCUUCAGCUAUUGCAAAUGUAUCAUGAUCAGUGAUGAAGACUUCAUAUCACUUGAGCUCUUCUUUUUGGAAACACGUUUGGGCCGGGGCAAGAACCGAAAUACCCUUCGCUCAUCUUAGUGUUUGCCCUGGCCUUCAUUAACACGGUACUGGACCACACAGGACACAGUUGACAGUCACUAAGCUAGACUACUUAGAGACUGCAUGCACUCAAGCUGUCCCCAGGCGCAGGGAAAGCCUGGAGAUACUCGGGUUGGCCGUUUCAUUGGAACGCCAACCUUGAGAAGAGAUAUACGGCAAGACAUUUAGAAAACCCAGUGGCCCACUGCAGAAUUCUGAGAUGUUGCGCCUCUGGAUUGACACUAUAAUGCUUUGAAGAGAAGAAACAAGGAUGUCCAGUUUUGACAUCCUUCCUAACAGCACAAUGAAUGUGAUGUUUAGGUUAUACCCCAAUGAAAAUAGCUGAAGAUAAGAGAAUUUAGAUCUGACUUUAAUUACAACCGUUGGACCCCCAAAGAACUUUGGAUACCGUCGAAGUUUUGGGUUUGUUUUUUUUUUUUCAUUAUCUGUUAUAUAUCUAGCUUCCUCGCUAGAUAGUGAAUGUCUUAAGAGUAAGCGCUGUGUUUCAUUCACCUUUGCCGGUUCUGCAUCACCUAAUAAGUUUAGUUUUCAGGAUAGCCACCCAGCAGGAACUUAAGUAGGUUUGUAUUGAAUUAACAUAUAGUCAAAUCUGAGCUUGCCACAGUGUCAGAUAUUGACUUGUUAUUUGCAUAUCCAAUAAUCUUUGCCGGCAUCCUCAUUGACAGCAGCAUGUCAAUUGCACAGGCAGAUCAAUUAAGACCCAGGUCAACCACAGAUGUCGGCAUCAAUGCCUGAAUUCGCGAAAGUUGCCGCUAAUAAAGUUUGGAUUAUUGUUGUGGUGCAACCGUCAGCCAGAAUAGUUUUUAAAAGGAAAACUUCCAGUAUCUAACUGGAUGGAAUAUUUAAGGAGUGAACAUUCAGUGUUCAUUUUUUUUUAAUGGAAUACAAAGAAAAUGGAGAUAGCUAUAUGGCCCCAGCGUGGUGGAGUCUUUUCCGCGCAUGAAGCGAUUAAAGACAUCAUAAAGAAAACUCUUGGCAAAUUUGAUUACACAAUAAUAUUAGUACUUCUAAAAACUAAGUUAAUAUUUUUUUAAAAAAUAACAAAAAUCUGCCUAUUCCCGAUACUGUCCUGUGGAGGGAAUUGGAACAAAUGUGAUUUAAAAAAAAAAAAAAGAAGUAAGCAAUUUAUAAGAGUUUAAAAUCUUAAAUUGAUGAACUAAGAAUAGAUUUGAAAGAGAAAUUUAAAUCCCUGAUCCUAUCUUAGAAUGAGCCUGUAAAUGACCUCUGGCAUGUACGUUUCCUAAUGACGAAUCUCACCGAGGUUUAGGAGAGUGAAAUAAUAAUCUUUAAUUAAAACUAGUAUUUAAUGCUCUGGUUCAUUCAAGAAAACCCGUUGCUAGACUUUUUUUUUUUAACAUUAUAUUUGUAACCAAGUUAAAAUAACUAGAUGCCUGGCUUUCUUACUGACGAUGAAGGUAAGGCCUUGUAUGAACAGAAAAGUCUUUGGGGUUUCAGCUUAGAAAAUUUGAAAAAGUAGUUUCUGAUGUGACUCUGCCUAUAAAAUUUAUUUUCUCAAUACAGUUACAAAGCCCAGGCUCUUACAUACGGCAAGGGUAAUCACCUUUCAAAAUAAAUACUAGUUCGCCCAAAAUACCCUCCGUGAGACAUUGAUUGUGCUUGAGAGGGAGGUUCUACAGUUGCACUGAAUGGUGCACUCACUCGCUGGACUAUGGUCUUUGUUUUCUUAUAGAGGCACAAGACCACAUACUUUGAAAAUCAUCCCUGUUAAAUGUUUGGUUCAUACCACAGCCUUAUCCGAAAGCAAGACACUCCUUUUUGCUCUUUUAAUUUUAAGUUUAUUUAUUUAUUUUGAGAGAGAGAGAGAGCACAAGCCAGGGGAGGGGCAGAGAGAGGGAGAGACCGAAUCCCAAACAGGCUCUGCACCAUCAGCACAGAGCCCGAUGUGGGGCUCGAACUCACAAACUGUGAGAUCACGACCCUGGCCGAGAUCAAGAGUCUGACGCUGAACUGACUGCAUCACCCAGGCGCCCCAUGACGCUCCUGGUGAGAACACCAAAUGAUAAAAAAUGAAAGGGGGAAAAAUAAUCAUUUCAACUAGUUUCAUUUUUGCUUCUUACUUGGCCAUCUAGGCCUGCCAGGGAUAGCAGAAAGGAAGGAGACUUUGUUCUUCCCGGACAGUCAAGGUGGGAAAGCCUGUGGAGAUCAUGAAACACAAUCCCUUUAUUCUGCAAAGAAACUGAGGCUAAGAGUAACUGUCCUGACACAAAGACACUGAUUGAAAGUUUUAGUUUCGUUCAGCUUGUUUGCCAUGAGGUUGUUUUCAAAACAAACAUCAUAUUUUACUUAAAUCACUCUGGAUUUUAGACAUGACAAACCCAUCUGUGUCUUGGAGGGGUAGUGGGGAGAGCUUACUUAAAAUACGGCAGGUGCCAGUAUUAGGAUAGUCCAAAAGAAAGCUUGUUAAUGCUAACCAGUAUGUAUUGCAUGGCUCUUGCCCAACACUAAGUUCAUCGGCAAGUUAUAGAAAAAAAAAGAACACAAGCUUUGAAGCCAGACAAAUGAGAAUGUAAAGCUUCGUUCUAUAGCUUACUAGUCUCAACAAUUACCUCGGACGUUAUUGAACCUCUCUGGACCUCAGUUUCCUCAUCUGUAAAACAUACAGAGAGAAUAUUUUCGAAAUUAUUGCAAGAAUAGGAUGAUACAACCCCUGAAAAACAAUUUCGGUAAUCGAUACUCAAUAGAUAUUGGCUGUCCUCUGUGGUGAAGGGGUUCACAGAACCCUUGCUCAUUCUCUACAGGCACAUUUGUCACUAGAUUAACUUUCUAUCUCUGUUCUGCUGGGAUAGCUGAUUAAAGGCAGAGAGUCAGUUGUGUUUCUAGGCAACACUGUUUAUGGUUAAAGUGACCCCUAACUGGGGAAUUGCAUCCCCACAAAGGGGAAGUAUAAAUGAAGAAGGGAGAGAAAUGGCAUCGGCUUAAGAGAUGAUAUCUUUCACAGGAUAGCCCGUCAGCCAGGUGAGAGUGAGACACUUAUUGGGGGGUGGGGGGGGGGGGGCAAAACAUUCCAAACGCAGGUGGCACAGGCAAGAAGACCAAUGAACUGGAGCCAUGGUGGAGAAGUGAGGGAGUAAGGGAUACGGGAUGAGACAGCAGAACAUAGUCAGCGGGGUCUCAAGCUACUCACAGGGCUUGUGUUGUAUUCCUAACGUAAAGCCGUGUUCUCCAAAAUACACAGGGAAAAAGAAAGUGCCAGUAAAUCAUGAGACAGGCAGGAAAGUACUGGUGGUAUCUUAAUAAUAGAAGGGCUCCAUGCUGUGCGUAAGAGGGCCAAACAUGACUUGGCGCAAACAGGGAAGGCGAGGACCAGCUGGUCAAGGGCUACGUAAACAAAAAAGGACGUUCAGUGAAAAAGCCAUGUUGUCACGUUAUGGUGGGACCCAUAAUCUUAGUCACAAGGACUUUCUACGGCAGUUCCUUUUAUUUUUUUUUAUUCUAUUUUUUUUGGGGGGGGGGGGAGAGAGAAAGACAGGGAGAGGGAGGGGAACCGGGAGAGAAAAAGAGAAUCUUCAGCAGACUCCGUGCUCAGCAUGGAGCCCGAUGUGGGGCUCGAUCCCACAACCCUGGGAUCGUGACCUGAGCUGAAAUCGAAUUGGUGGCUCCACGGACUGAGCUACCCGGGUGACCCUACAGCAGUUACUUUUUAAGUGUAUUUUCAACCCAUAAACACAUAAAUACAUUUUAUUUGCUUUGUAAAUUAGUUUUUUGAUUAAAAACAAUUUUUUUUAACGUCUAUUCGUUUUUGAGAGACAGAGACAGAGCAUGAGCUGCGGAAGGGGUGGAGAGGGAGGGGCAGAGAGAGAGGGAGACACAGAAGCCGAAGCAGGCUCCAGGUUCCGGGCUGUCAGCACACAGCCCAAUGGGGGGCUCGAACUCACAAACAGAGAGAUCAUAACCUGAGCCAAAGUCGGACGCUUAACCAACUGAGCCACUCAGGUGCCCCUGUAAAUUAUUUUUAAUUCAAGUAUAGUCUGCAUACAGUAUUACAUUCAUUUCAGGUGUACAACUUAGUGAUCCAACGUUAUGAAAUACUCAUCAGAUUAAGUGUAGUUACCAUACGAACUUAUUUGUAUAUUUGUACCAUACAAACUUAUGACAAUAUUAAUGACUAUACUUCCUAUAUUUCCAAUAUUUCCUGACUAUAUUUCAUCCCUGUGACUUAAUUCAUUUUAUAAUUGGAAGCUUGUACCUCUUAAUCCCUUUCAUCUAUUUCACCCCCCACCCCCCUGCCCCCCUGACAACUACCAGUUUGUUCUCUGUAUGUGUGAGUCUAUUCCUGUUUUUGUUUGUUCACUCAUUUGUUUUGCUUUUCUGAUUCCUGACAUAAGUGAAGUCAUGUGAUAUUUGUUUUUCUGUUUCAUUUCACUCAGCGUAAUGUCCUCAAGAUCCAACCAUUUUGUCACCAUGGCAAGAUUUAAUUCUUUUUUAUGACGGAGUAAUAUUCCAUUACGCAUAUAUACCACAUCUUCAUUUAUCUAUUUUUUUUUAAUUUUUAUUAUUGUUUUAGACAAUAAUAAAGAGCAUGAGUCAGGGAGAGGGACAGAAGGAAAGAGACAGAAUCUUAAACAGGCUCCACACUUGGUGCAGAGCCCAAGGCAUGGCUCGAUCCAACAACUGAAAUCAAGAGUUGGUUGCUAAACCACCUGAGCCACCCAAGAUCCCCUCUUCAUUUAUCGAUUGAUGGACACUUGGGUUGCUUCCAUAUCGUUCUGGCUAUUGUAAACAAUACUGCAAUAAACAAACAAUAAACAAAGGAUCCCUUUGUAAACAAUGCUGCAAUAAACAAAAGGAUCCCCAUUUGUUUUCACUCGGUAAAUGUCCAGAUUAUAUGGAUCAUAUGGUAUUUCUAUUUUUAAGUUUGUGAGGAACCUCCAUAUUGUUUUCCACAGUGGAUUCACCAUUUACAUUUCCACCUACAGUGAUUAAGGAUUCCUUCCUUCACCACCUCACCCAUACUUGUUACUGUCUUUUUGAUGGUAACCAUUCUGACUGGUGGAAGGUGGUAUCUCAUUUUAUAUCACCACCCUGUCAUACAUCUGUUUCCCAAAUGUAGAACAAAAAUUAAGUAUAACAAAAAUUUCCCAAAAGAACAUUCAGCCCUAUCUACUAGACGCAAUGGAAGCUACGUUCAUUGAUAUUUUGGAUGUAUUUGCCAAGGCAGUAGACUGGCUUACAACCAGAGUCUUGAAAUGCAAUCUGUAAAUCACCAUUCUACAGCGAUGUUUACCAGUUGCAAGUGGAGAGAUCAGCAAUCAGUCUUAUUCAGAAAUGAAGGUGAACACAGGGUAGACAUCGGAAAGUCCAAGAAAGAAGGAACUCAGUAGUGCCAGCAAGUAUGUAACUGAGGCUCCUGACUGUAGGGAAGGAGGCACAUAUAAAAGAAAUGGGAGUGUGCAUUAAGAGGGUGUGAGGCAUUAAAACCGUGAUAAAAGAUUUGCAUUUGGAGUUAUAGAAACCGGGUGUAAAUCCCAGCUCUGUCUGUGUCUGAACUGGGCAGGAGAGGGUUGUUGGAUGGUGCAUUAGAUAGUUUGCAAAGAGCUUCGACCAGUCCCUGGCAUAUAGGAAGCAGUGAUUAAUUAAAUGCUAGUGGCUGUUAAGCUGCGAUAUCAGAAAAGAAGAGUAGCCUGCAUGGGUAGAAGACAAUAGGAAGAGUAACCUACCAAGAUGUCAGAAAGGGAAAGUGGUGGAUUUCAGCUCUACAAGCUGGAAAUUCUUGGAAGCUUGAAAGCUGGGUCUAACCAGUCACCGAUGCAAUAGAGAGCAGUUGAAGGUCAAUAGGGUUAAGAAAGUUGAGGCUCCGAGAUGAAGCUGGGCAAACAGCAUAGAUGUUACACAAACCAUCAAGGGAGGCGCCACGUGGAGGGGUAGCUGGGAGCCAGUCCUCAAGUAGCCAAAGAAAAAGUAGAAGAAUGUCCUGGAGACAGGUCAAUGAUGGCAAGGAGCUUAGGAGGAGAAUAGAUUAAAAAAAAAAAAAAAAAAAAAA